UGAUUUCCUGAGGGAAAGAAAGGAGGCGCAUGGACUUAUAUAAGGGGCUGAGACGCACGUCGAAAGCAGUUCCAGAUUACAGCUCUCUUGAACAGGCACCAUGAUUAGCCCCAAGAUCAUCAUAGCAGCGCUCGUAGUUUUGGCCCUGAUGAUUGUGAUGGCCAGCGCACAGUUCGGCCCAGUCAUGGGGCCCGCCUACGGAGUCGCCGCGCAACCCGCGCAGCCCGCACAACCAGUGUACGCCGCUGUGCCCGUGCGGCCGAUAUACAAGGGGCCGUUCGGAGGCAUGAGCCCGUACGCGUACGGAAUGGGACGGCGCUGAGCUCUUCCAAGACGUCAGGGCCACCGAUGUGGACGUCGUGAAUGCAGAAAUCACAAGCACAGAGCUGCUGCGACAAACAACUGGAACUUCCUCAGUCACAAACAAGCUGCCCGAUUAAUGGGUCUACUAGAAGCCUGCUCCGCUUUGUAUACGAAUUAUUUGUCAAUUCUUGUUAAGUAAAUAAAUGCGUCAUUCUUUACUGUA